UGCUUGUUUUGGCAGCAUACAGAUUAAACUGGAACAAUAUAGAGAAAAUUAGCAUGUCACCUUUGCAAGAAUAACACAUCCAUUAAUGAAGCAUUCCAUACUUGC